rnacentral:rRNA from 1 species
AUUGAACGCUGGCGGCAGGCCUAACACAUGCAAGUCGAGCGGAUGAAGGGAGCUUGCUCCUGGAUUCAGCGGCGGACGGGUGAGUAAUGCCUAGGAAUCUGCCUGGUAGUGGGGGAUAACGUCCGGAAACGGGCGCUAAUACCGCAUACGUCCUGAGGGAGAAAGUGGGGGAUCUUCGGACCUCACGCUAUCAGAUGAGCCUAGGUCGGAUUAGCUAGUUGGUGGGGUAAAGGCCUACCAAGGCGACGAUCCGUAACUGGUCUGAGAGGAUGAUCAGUCACACUGGAACUGAGACACGGUCCAGACUCCUACGGGAGGCAGCAGUGGGGAAUAUUGGACGAUGGGCGAAAGCCUGAUCCAGCCAUGCCGCGUGUGUGAAGAAGGUCUUCUGAUUGGAAAGCACUUUAAGUUGGGAGGAAGGGCAGUAAGUUAAUACCUUGCUGUUUUGACGUUACCAACAGAAUAAGCACCGGCUAACUUCGUG